ensembl:lncRNA
GAAUAUGUUAAGAUAAAGUGUGCUUGAACAAAAGCCACGGCUCAUUCAUCUGAGCCCGAACAGGCGUGUCGGCCAAUUAGUGUGAGCGAGAAGGUGUCGACUCACUCUAUUCGGGAUCAAACCGACGCGACUGCGAAUAUUAUCAGAGGGAUAAAAAUAAAAAGCAACUCCUCGUCUUUAAAUCAGAAACAAUUCCCUCGUAGGGUUUUAAUGUCGGACAACUAAAGUUAGCAGGGUUGGGAGUUCUGGUGCCACUGGCUGUGCUCCGUUUCCUGAAUCCCCAUCUAACGACCGGGCGUCCUGCUGCGUGGCACCAGCGCCGACCACUGGACAAAAGAGGAACUGCAGGCAACCCCAAAAGCCCAGACAGGUUUAUCUAUUUUCAUGGAAUGGCAGAUGACUUUAGUCCAGUUAAAUGUAUAUUUAUAUGUGUGUGAAAUGCAGCAAACAAUAAAUAUACGUAUUUAAAAAUAUAUUCCACACACAACCACCCCAAUCAAAGAAAAAAUUACCGACCAUGUCUGGCUCUGCAGGCCCGACAAUCUCAAUAAUUAAAGAUAGAUCAAGUACAUACACCUGAAAUAAUUAAAUUUAAAUGCUUGUCUCUAGAUUACAUCGUAAUUGAAAGUGAAUUGAUCAAGCCUUAUUAUUUUGUUUUGGUCAUUUGAUAAUAAAUGGAGGAGCGGAGCCCCCGUACUCUCAUUAUGCCGGCCCCGGCAACCUUACAUAAGAUUCAUCUUGCUUAAUAGGCUGCGAGAGGCGACACAUGCAGCUCGGCCCAUUAUAAUGCAAGGUUGAAAUGGGCCGCUCGGCUGCUAUCUGCAUCUGAGUGUGUUCCCCGCUACCUCUAAUCUGCUUAUGAUAAUAAAGGAACAGCGGGGGCCCCGCGGCUCCCUGAAAGCAGGCCCCAUCCAGCCAGGAAUGGCCUUGCAUCCACAAUCAUCCUGAAUUAAAGCCGUUGUUUGACAAAAACCUGGAGAAACUAGCGGGGCGGCUCCCUUGGACCACUUGUAAGCCCCCCGCUACACCAGGUUGGGAUGGAUACAGCAAAUAUAACCAACAGCACGCUGUGAUCUUAAAACACUGUUUUGUGGUGUGGACAAAUUUAGGUGAUAGGACGCUGCAAAAACAAGCGAGAGAAAAUUGAUAAUACAGCUGGAAAAAAAUAAUAUAUAUAUAUUCGAUAUAUAUUCGAAGAGCUGCCGCGCAGGAAGAAUGCAGCGUGUCUCAACUCUUAGUUGUAUCAAAGUAACACAAACAUAAAUAUGUAUGACAAUGUCUGUCGAUCGUCGAUCGGUGUGACAUCGGUAAAUCCCAAUUUGUCGAAACACAAUGUAAAUAUACACACAUAAAAAAUAAUUCAAUCUGGUAUAGGGAAAAAUAAAAUAUUGCAAUUGUAUAGCCCAUAGCCCAUAAAAUACACUCUUGCCACUAGGGGCCGUACCAGCAGCUGGAGACGCAGCAGAGAAAAUACUUUAUGAAAAUAUUAGUCUCACAUGGAAAUUAUUUAAAAAAUCAGGAAUAAUGAUGUUUCUUUUUAAAUAGAUGGAAGAACAUUUGUCCUAUAUCUUUUGAAGACGGCAAUGAGUCUAAUCACACGCGCCAGUAUUGGUUUGUUCAUAUGUUAGAACCAAAUAUGUUAGGCAGAUAUUUAUGUAAUUUGGAGCGAUGAUUAACUAAAAUAAAACCAAUUAUAAAGCAUAAACAUCCACCCGGUUAUACAGUUGACCAGAUGCCAAUCAAGUAUUACAAUUAUAAUUAGUAUUAAUUAUAACAUGAAAGGAUAAUAUAAUUCAAUAUAAGUGGAAAUACAAUAUGCAACAUUAUAUUCGGUAGAAUACAAUACAAUUAAAUGUCUAAUGUCUUCUAAGUGAAGCCUGAGUAUUAAUAUAAGGCGUGCUGCUUAAAUUGUAAUUCAAAACGAUGAUUCUUUAAAAUAAACACCGAAAGAGUUACAUCAAAUAAACAUAAUUUAAUCAGGCCACAUCAAGGAAACACGUGGAAUCUGAUAACCAUGUAUUCUGCACAUAUGAUCCCUGAGUAUGUUGAGUAGAAAACCGAACCGGCCAACAACAGCCGAGGCAGUCAGUCACGCGCACGAUGCCAGGCGGUGUCAUUCCACAACACGGCAUGUUUUGCGCACGCACACGCCAACACACACACACACAAACACACACACACACACACACACACCGGCUCAAACACACAUUAACAUAGCCUAUACACACCAACACACACACACGGCUUCUCCUCUCCGCCGCUCUCAAACUUACUUUCAGUUUGGGAGUCCUCUCGUUUUGAUUGACAGAAACCUGAAGAGCCGUUUCUCCCAACUUCCUCCGUGUCCUCCUCUCGCCUCACCCUGCGACGACGCCUCCGCCCGGCCGUUAAAACGCCAAACCCGGCACCGUCGGUGUGCGACCUUCUCUUCCCCCCCCCAUCCAUGCCGCCCAAUCUGCCGCUAGUCCCCGCGCGGAUCCCAUCCGGCAGCCGGCUCGCUUUAUCCGGCGUGCAGCCGCGCGGAGCCCCGCUGCCUGUGUGGAGCUCCGCUGUCUUCUUUCCCGCUCGCCCUGCGACAAGAAAAGCCGUUUCUUGCAGUGAUGUCACGGUUGUCGUUAUGACAAGGCCUACGGUCCUGAUGUCUGAUUGGACGCCGGCCUACGUCCCAAUUAGCAUUACAUCCAUGGCGGGAGACGCAGAUGACUCCCCUUGUCUUUUUUCUGGCCAUAUUUAGGUUUGUGGUUGUUUUGCUACUUGUCUCACCUACAACCAUGUCCUACUUCUUUUACCUGAACUGGUUUCGUCUUUUUCAGCCUUCUGUUACACUUAUACAGAAAAGUGAUAUAUUUAUGUCCAUUUCAACCCCCGGUCACGAUGGUCUACAAAGUUUACUACCAAUGACCUGACCUCCUCCACCUGCUCCUGCAUGAACCGCUUCCUCCACCCGUUAACCCCCGUCUCAAACACGUCCCCAACCUUCCUCUCCCGGCCCUGGCACCUUCAUUUGCGGCCUCUCCUCAGCCUCCCUGGCCCUCACCUAUCUCACAGCUUCGACCGCUUUUACGCGUCCGGCCACACCCACCCACCUUCGCACCUUUUUUUCCGGCCCGGCCUCCCCCGGCCCGUCAUCUCCCCAGCCUCAGAGCUCCUACCCCGGCCUCGGCUCUGCCUGUCCCUGCCUCUCCUCCAGCCUGCCUUUCCCUCAGCCCCAGCCUUCUGCAGUGUUCAAGGGGAGAGCCAGCUAGGAAUGCUGUGGCUCUAGACGUUUUGUCCAAGCCCUAGGUCUCUUUCACUGAGGCAAGAUUAGUUCAUACAAAA